AAUAAACUUAACUUACUUUCCUUGCAGGCCCUCCUGUUGCUGUGCACAGUGGGGAAAGACCAGUCACACCAUCAGUCUUCCCAGAAACAACAGCAAGGCCACCAUGAGUAACCCGGCCAUGGGCCAGAGGGGCAGGAAGCCUUUUGCAUUCCACUGUGUUUUCCCACACAGCAGCACACCAGUCCCUUGAUAAUCACUAACUAGGAAGUUCAGCAGAAGAGUAGAAGGUGAUUUCUGCAAAGGAGCAAACAACCCCCAGGGGUUUGCAGCAGGAAGGAAUCUCAGACCCAGAGAAGAUCACAGCAGGGCAGGAGCCGACCCAUUUCCACAAACAAACCCACAGAGGCAUUUGGUGGUUGCUCUUUGCUGCCAUGCUGGGGCACGUAACUAAGAGGCACGGGCUGUUUGAUGACAGUGUCAAUAUAUGAUGCCCCAGUGGUGAUCUGGCGGGAAGAAUUUCUGUCUAAAAUGCUGAGGUCUUCUGCACUGGGAUGCUUUCUCAAAGCGUUCUUCUGGGCAGAGGUCAUCAUAGAUGUUCACCUCAGUGGGGAAAAAAGUGUCUGGAGAAGAGGCUUCUAUGAUGCCCCAUGAAGGUACUUCCCUCCACACCGUGUCCAUAGGAAACCAUCCACCAGAGGCUGAGGGAAGACCAGCAAAGGUGCUGCCCCUACGGUGGAUCCUGCCGGCCUGUGACAACCAACCCCACCCUGCAGAGAUGGUGGUGAGUGGCUCGGUUGCUUGGACCACUGAGACACAGCGCUCACCUGGACCACUCCCAGGGGACGUCCACCAGCGAUGUGGGAACGCCCCGAGAGCCUUCUAGAGAGGCCGUAAAGGGAGCCACGGAAGCCUGCUGACAACCAGCAGCUGCCUGCCUGGAGAGUGAGCGAGCUUCUCUGACGUGGCCCUUCUGCCCGCGGUCCAGCCCUCACAGUGGGGUAGCCUGAGCCGACAUCUGACAUCUGAGGACCCUGUGCUGGAACGGUCCGGGGUAGGUUGCUUCUCAGCUCCCAACGCCCAGCACCAGAUUACUGUCAUCAGCUCUAAGCUCUGGGGUUAACUUGUGAAGUGAGAGGUAACAGUAACUGCCGCUCUGGGGGGCACUUGGUAACCCAGCUGAUGACUGAGGUUGGCUCCUUCAGGGUCCCUUCCUGAUGCAGGAAGUACCUAAAUGUCCUUUAGGAAUCAUUUAUUUAGGGACUCCCCUGGUGGCUGAGACUCUGCAUUUCCAAGCUAGGGGGCCCAGGUUCAAUCCCUGGUCAGGGAACUGGCUCCCACAUGCUGCUAAGACUCGGCACAGCCAAAUAAACAAAACUCAAUAUUUAAAAAAUUGUUUAUUUCCACCAUCUCAAAAGGGC
rnacentral:lncRNA from 1 species